UCUCUCUGCGCCUCUCCCUCUCCCUCUCCCUCCCUCUCUCUCUCUCUCUCUCUCUCUCUCUCUCUCUCUCUCUGUCUCUGCGCCUGAGUUUAGAGAAGUCGCCGGAUCUAAGACUGUUGUGGGUGAAAGUAAUUGCAGUGGCGAAUCUGUGUUGUUGUUUCCUGUCAGCAAUAGUAGCAGGGAUGCCGGAUCUGAAUGGAAAGGGUGCCUGGUGGUGUGCUCACAAGGGUUCCGAUGGAGAUGGGCUUCAGCAAAGGCGGUGAUGGCUGAAGAAAAUGCAGAGAGCGAGAUUGUGGGCUGCGAAUGGGAUCUCAGAGACGGAAAUGAUGGCAGAUCUGAGUGUUGGUCUAGCAGAGCAGUGUCUGAGACAGGGUUUUGCCGGAUUUGCAGGUGACGGCUGGUGUGGCUGCGGUGGUGAUGUAGCAACGUGGUGGUGCUUGUGAUGAGAAUGAUGGAGUUGAAUGGUGCGGAUCAAAGGCCCCAAAUCGGGUGCUCUAAUACCUUGACACACCUAAUUCCUUUUUUGAAUGUUUUCUAAUAUGGAACAUCUACUUCGUUGUCAGGCAUUCUGACUCGAAAUUGCAGGCUUCUUUCUUUUGCUUUGCAUUACUAACUGUUGCUGGAGAGUCUAUAAAAUUAGUUGAAGCUGAUAUUAGUUUGUGCUUGCAACUGUUCCGAAGGAUAUUUUAUUUUGUACUCUAGAUUGCUGUGUAUUUGCCUUUAUUUUGUUAAUCUUAUGCAUAUAUUGUAUCUUCAGGCCACGGGGGUGCUCGAGCUGCGGAGUAUGUUAGACAACAUUAUCUUACUCCACACAUGCAUGAAAGUGGUGGUAUGGAUACAGAGAAUAGCACUUUACCAAGCAUGAUUUUUCUCAAGCAAGGUAGGAGUAGCCGCCAUGUGGACCAGUCACUCCACCGUCUAUCAAGUUCGAGGUUGAAGCAGCAAGGUGCACCACCUUCUCCAACAUGUAUUUAUGGUCCAAUCCCCGAAUUUUCAGAGCAGGGAAACAAACUUUAGAUAUCCACAAGGACAUCUUGCCUUAAAGAUGAAAAGGAAGGCAUCAACAGCUCAUAUUGGUUGAAAUAAUUGCACCCAGCCCACGGAUGCAUUACACGGGUUCCCAACUGAAAAUGGGUGAAAACCUGUGCAGCAAGCCAGCACCUGAUUCAGUGCAUGCCCAUGAAGUACCAAACCAAAUCAGACCUCUAACAUGAAUAUCAAGAGUCUUGGAUUACCAGAGCGACCAGAAAUUCACCAUCACCACCUACACACCUACACUUCCACUUGCGUUCUUUUUACAACGAUUACAGUCAAUGAACCUGCGCCCAGGCUCAAGACAAUUUUUAGCUUAACUGUUCCUGAUCAAAAGUCUGGCAAGUGUGGAUGCGUGUUAAAAGGCACAUCGGUUGGAUCACCCUACUCCAUGUCUCACUGAAUCUUGACCGUUCACCGGAUGUGGAGUUUGCAGAAGUCAUCCAUUCUGCCGUAAGACAUUACGGUUCAUGACGGUUCCCAGUAGGUUAAAUUGCAAAUUAUUAUUAAGAGUUGGUUGGAUAUCUUUUAUUUUUUAUAAAUGUUGUUAAUAGUUGGAUGGAUGAUGAAUGUAUUUGCGAAUGUAAAUAAAAAUAAAGAACUUAUAAUAUAUAUAUGUUAUUAAUGGAGGAUACCUUGUUUAG